rnacentral:sRNA from 1 species
UACAUCUGCCGACUAAGUGCUCUUUCUG